GAUGAACGCUGGCGGCGUGCCUAAUACAUGCAAGUCGAGCGAACAGACGAGGAGCUUGCUCCUCUGACGUUAGCGGCGGACGGGUGAGUAACACGUGGAUAACCUACCUAUAAGACUGGGAUAACUUCGGGAAACCGGAGCUAAUACCGGAUAAUAUAUUGAACCGCAUGGUUCAAUAGUGAAAGACGGUUUUGCUGUCACUUAUAGAUGGAUCCGCGCCGCAUUAGCUAGUUGGUAAGGUAACGGCUUACCAAGGCGACGAUGCGUAGCCGACCUGAGAGGGUGAUCGGCCACACUGGAACUGAGACACGGACCAGACUCCUACGGGAGGCAGCAGUAGGGAAUCUUCCGCAAUGGGCGAAAGCCUGACGGAGCAACGCCGCGUGAGUGAUGAAGGUCUUCGGAUCGUAAAACUCUGUUAUUAGGGAAGAACAAAUGUGUAAGUAACUAUGCACGUCUUGACGGUACCUAAGCAGAAAGCCACGGCUAACUACGU
rnacentral:rRNA from 1 species